GGAAUUUAUUCGAGAUUUGAUUUUCUUGAGUCAAUCGUUGUCAGUAGUAGGAAACUCUUGGGAAUGUCUAAUGGAAUAUGUUUGCAUUUUAUGCCAGAAAAACUCUAAAUUCCACGAAUCUCCAUCAUUUGAAGAGAGUGGUUUAUUCAAGCUAUGAACCUGUCAAAUCACAGCCGGCAAGAAGCAGUUUUGGUUUACUGAAGGCGUCGAUAAUCGUUGUUCCUUGUAUUUAUUUUGGAGGGUAUCUGUCUAUGAAUUUGGCAAGUUUUCUAGAGGAAUGGAAUAUAUUUGUGCCUGAUGAAGACGACGAUGAUGAUUAAUUACUCUUCUACGCCGUGGUACUAAAAUUUGUCUAUUCAAGAAAACAUUCAAAUAAUCCCAGGCUAAUGGUAUAACUCAUCUUCAAAAGUUAGGAAAAAGAUUAAAUUUAUAUUUUUGUUAUAUAUUUUAAAAACAUGAACACUUUAUAUUUUUGAAUAACUUAUUUUGAAGGAAAAGAUGGAAAAUUUUAAUUUUAGGAUUGAAAAUGUGAAAUUAUGAGAUAGAGAUAUAGGACUUAUUAUCACCUUUCAUGAAUGAUUUGUAAAUAGUUAAUGAAACAUUUGAUUUUUUCAUUUGAAUUUGAGAGAACAAGGAUGUAUUAUGUCUUCCUAUUUUAAUAACAAUUUAUUUAAAAACUG